AACGAGGCUCUGUGUGCUGUGUGACUGUAUCAAUAGUCACGGGCAAACAGAUUCCCGCAGAAGGGUAGAAUGGGAAGUGGGCGGUGCAGACAAAGCAGCUGUGUGGAAAGAUAUCUCCGUCAAGAAUGGGUUGGUGGCGAGGAACAAAAACUCCCUUAGCCGGAGUAGAAAUGGGAUCUGUUGAUGGUGUCGGGGAACUCAGGAAACAUGGAAGGAAGGCCACAGCCUCCGAGAGGAACUGGUGAGUGCUUAUGGAGCAAAGAGCAUGUAGAACCUUCUAGUCUCUGACCACGUGCAGAGCCUUCUGGUGCGAAGUGCACUGAACUACCAGGGUGCUUGCCCCAGCAGACCACGGCAAAGUGACCUCGCUUCUGGAGGUGUCAGAAGAGUCCAUCCACGGAGGCAGAGGCAAUUAAGUCAGAGCCCUUUGACUAUCCUUCCCAAUCCAAGACUGCGCUCAAGAUGAAGCGUUGGCAAAUUGCGGUCCAGAGUGGGCCAAUCCUGUCACAAGUCGAGCAUGGCCUUUAUGUCUCUCAAUGGGGAAAAAAAAAAUCAAGAACAAAGUCGUACUUUGUGAUUCAUGGAAAUGAUCUGACUUCAGAUUUCAGUGUCUACAAAUAAAGUUUUAUUGGAA
rnacentral:lncRNA from 1 species